rnacentral:rRNA from 1 species
CCUACGGGUGGCAGCAGUGAGGAAUAUUGGUCAAUGGACGAGCGUCUGAACCAGCCAAGUAGCGUGAAGGAUGACUGCCCUCUGGGUUGUAAACUUCUUUUAUCUGGGAAUAAAAUGUUCCCCGUGUGGGAUUUUGUAUGUACCAUAUGAAUAAGGAUCGGCUAAAUCCGUGCCAGCAGCCGCGGUAAUACGGAGGAUCCGUGCGUUGUCCGGAUUUAUUGGGUUUAAAGGGAGCGUAGGUGGAUUGUUAAGUCAGUUGUGAAAGUUUGCGGCUCAACCGUAAAAUUGCAGUUGAAACUGGCAGUCUUGAGUACAGUAGAGGUGGGCGGAAUUCGUGGUGUAGCGGUGAAAUGCUUAGAUAUCACGAAGAACUCCGAUUGCGAAGGCAGUUCACUGGACUGCAACUGACACUGAGGCUCGAAAGUGUGGGUAUCAAACAGGAUUAGAUACCCCUGUAGUC